UGAGGAAUAUUGGUCAAUGGGCGGAAGCCUGAACCAGCCAAGUAGCGUGAAGGAUGACUGCCUUAUGGGUUGUAAACUUCUUUUAUAAGGGAAUAAAUGUGGGUACGCGUACCCAUUUGCAUGUACCUUAUGAAUAAGGAUCGGCUAACUCCGUGCCAGCAGCCGCGGUAAUACGGAGGAUCCGAGCGUUAUCCGGAUUUAUUGGGUUUAAAGGGAGCGUAGGCGGGCGCUUAAGUCAGCUGUGAAAGUUUGGGGCACAACCUUAAAAUUGCAGUUGGUACUGGGUGCCUUGAGUGCAGUAUAGGCAGGCGGAAUUCGUGGU
rnacentral:rRNA from 1 species